UUUCCCCUACGGGGGGCAGCAGUGAGGAAUAUUGGUCAAUGGACGCAAGUCUGAACCAGCCAUGCCGCGUGCAGGACGACGGCUCUACGAGUUGUAAACUGCUUUUGUACCGGGGUAAAAUGCCUUACGAGUAGGGUUUUGAAAGUACGGUACGAAUAAGGAUCGGCUAACUCCGUGCCAGCAGCCGCGGUAAUACGGAGGAUCCGAGCGUUAUCCGGAUUCAUUGGGUUUAAAGGGUGCGUAGGUUGUUUUAUAAGUUAGCGGUGAAAUACCGAUGCUCAACAUCGGGGCUGCCGCUAAUACUG
rnacentral:rRNA from 1 species